rnacentral:rRNA from 1 species
CUGGCGGCGUGCCUAAUACAUGCAAGUCGAACGGCUUUUCUAUGGAAGCUUGCUUCCACUGAGAAGAUAGUGGCGAACGGGUGAGUAACACGUGGGUAACCUGCCCAUAAGAGGGGGGAUAACAUCCGGAAACGGGUGCUAAUACCGCAUAGUUUUCUUGAUCGCAUGAUCGGGAAAGGAAAGACGGCCUUUGUGCUGUCGCUUAUGGAUGGACCCGCGGCGUAUUAGUUAGUUGGUGAGGUAACGGCUCACCAAGACGAUGAUACGUAGCCGACCUGAGAGGGUGAUCGGCCACAUUGGGACUGAGACACGGCCCAAACUCCUACGGGAGGCAGCAGUAGGGAAUCUUCCGCAAUGGACGAAAGUCUGACGGAGCAACGCCGCGUGAGUGAAAGAAGGUUUUCGGAUCGUAAAACUCUGUUGCCAGAGAAGAACAAGUUGGAGAGUAACUGCUCCAGCCUUGACGGUAUCUGACCAGAAAGCCACGGCUAACUACGUGCCAGCCGCGGC